rnacentral:lncRNA from 1 species
AACUCAUUCGGCAAAACGCAGCACGCCAUAAAGACGGCGUGACUAACGACGCGCGAUUCGUGACUCAAGUGUGACGGCUGUUGAAUGUUGAGCCAGCGGCUAGCCUAUACGAAGGGCAUGGCUCAUGUAAGGUUUUGCAUUGAGAGGCACCGUGUGCCUCGUUUUCUCACGCCGCACGAAGGUUAGUAUUUUGGAGGUGGUUUUGAUUUGGGAAGAAAAAACCUUUUAUUUCAUUUUUACUCAUAUUUUAGUUUUUUCUUUUUAAUUAUUUAUUCUUUCUUAAUUAGUUAUUCAGCUUGGUAGUGUCAUAUGAGUUUUUUUAUAAGCCAAUGUGAUAUAUGUAUUAUGGAGUUUAUUAUAAGAUUUUUUUUAACCCUCUAGAUGAAAUAUAUAUCUUAAUCCAAAAUUUGACUUAAAUAUAUUAAAUAAAAUCUAAUCAAAUAUUGUUCAACUUAAUUUUUUUAUUAGAUGAUGAUGUUUAUACUACCAACUUAAAUGAAUGUGAUGUCAUAUAAUUAUAUUUUUAUUAUAUAAUUGUUAAAGAGUUGUGAUAUUCAAUAAACUACAAUUUUAGUUUUUGAAAAUGUAGGGUGUUGUCACUUUGGUCCAUAACUUAAUUAAAAUCUUAAAUUAGUUUGUGAAUCAUUAAAACAUCUGUCAGUUUAAUCUAUAACUUUAUAACGACCAUAAAAUAUUUUGAUUAAUUGAAGAUUAAUUUUGAUUUUUGACUAAGUUAGAAAUCAAUGUGACAAUGCUCUAUAAUUUCAAAGACUAAAAGGAUAAUUUUUUCAUAAAUAAAAAUUACGUAGUUUAUAGAAUUUCUUAAUAAAAUUAAUUGAAAACAAAUUAUUAAAAAAAAUAACUGUGAAGAUUCACAUAAUUUAGAGGAUGUAGUACUUCAUACAAAAAAGAAAAUAAUUUAAUGGCUACAAUAAAUCUUUAUAUUUCGGACUUAAGACAAAAGAUUUUAUCUUUUUUGAAAUUUAUGUUGUUGUAAGAGGUGGGAAUAGGUUACACUGAAUUAGAUUUUUUAAUGUCUAUGUUUGUUUUAGUCCAAAAAUUCAAGGUUUAGAUUGAGUCUCAUUUCAUUUUUUAAAUUUGGUAUGGUUUAUUAACUUGCUUUAAUGUUUGGUGCAUGAGUCCUGAUAGAAAUAAUUUUCAACAUAGAUUAAUUAAAAGUAUAGUUCAUUUGAUAAGCUUAUGGUAGUUGUGAUCAAUACAAAACUUAUGCUUAAAAAAGCUUAUUCGGAGAAUGCUUUAUGAACAGUCUUCUCAAAAUAAGAUCAUUAUAUGUUUUAUGCUUCUUUGCAUAAUCAAAACUAUAUAUAAACUAAAGAAACAUGAGCAAAGAGAACGUUGAAAAGUGAAUUUUAUCUUGAUACCCCUAAUUAACUUUGAACUAUGUAUUAUCAACUAUAUAAAUCAAACAAUAUCACAACUGAUACCCCUAAUAAACUUUGAACUACAUAUUAUCAAUUAGAUAAAUCAAACAAUAUCAUAAAUGAUACCCCUAAUCAACUUUGAACAACAUAUUAUCAGUUACAUAAAUCAAACAAUGUCAUAACGUUUUAUCAUAUAGAAAUCUUCAUCCAUAAUCAAAUUCUUUCAAUUCUUUACUCAACAUCAUUAUAAGUAUAUUUUCACUCAAGUUUGGUCACACAUAUACAAAUAUAAAACUCAAUUAUUGUAUUCGGUAAGUCUUUGCACCACAAAGUGUACUAUAGAAAUUUUCUUUAAAACAAAACUAACCCCCAACCUAGUUGAUUUGGAAAGAUUACAAUAUACUAUAUACUUUAAAAAAUAUAGAUAGUGAUUUCAAGUCUAUAAUGUGUGGAUUGUGUCACUGAAUAUAUUGAAAUUAUAAAAUUAUCAUUCAAUGUAUCUUUUGUUUAUAAUUUUAUGAAUCAAAUUGACUAACAUAAGACAUAUCAAAUGAUUAAAUUAACUAAUAAAAGACACAUAAGAAGACAAAACUUAUAGAAGAACGACACUUUCAAAUAUGUUUUAAUAGGUUUAAUAUAUUCUUAAAAAAAUUAUUUUAACUCUUAUAAAAUAAAUUGAAGUGAAGCAAACAUGUGUCAGAAAAUGCAUUUUUGACGAUUGUCCUCAUAGCUUAAACCAUUGUGAUAAUUAACCAAACAACAAAUCUCCAAUGGAAAAAAGAAAAAAAAAGAAUUGCACCUAGAUCAAAACACAAUAAUGUAAACAAGCAACCGUAAAUCUCAAGUUCAACAUGUAUCCAAAAUUAGCAAUUAAGGAUACAUAAAAAUAUUCCUUAUACGAAGGUAGACAUUGAAAAGUUCAUUAGAUAAAUACUAAGAAUUGUACGACGACAUACCUUAUUUGCAUAUGUACACUGAUCGUUUCAUUUCUAUUAUAUGUUAGCUUCAUCCGAUUUGGCAUAAGUACUAGCAACAACGCACCAUGGACAUCUAGCAACGUGAACAUGCAAUAAUAACUAGCUUACUGAACAUGCAAACCGGUGGUCAAAAGAGCUGACUUCAAUAUAUUAUGGAGUGGAAACAAAACGUGGAGUAAUUGCCUCUAAUAAUAGGAUAGAGC